GGUCUCACGACCGGUGUGGUGGACUUGGAUUUGGGCGUUGCCGGUCACGGCUCGCCUUAAAGAUGUCAGUGGGAAGGGUUCCCUCGGCUAGACGUAAUAAGUUUCGUCCGACCGUGGUCGCUCAUGCCCGCUUCCAACCCGCCCUCGGGCACUACUUUGUCAUGGACCUCAAAUCAGGUAGGACUACCCGCUGAACUUAA
rnacentral:misc_RNA from 1 species